rnacentral:rRNA from 1 species
AGCGGGGAUAGGGUGCUUGCACCUGAUUCCUAGCGGCGGACGGGUGAGUAAUGCUUAGGAAUCUGCCUAUUAGUGGGGGACAACGUUCCGAAAGGGACGCUAAUACCGCAUACGUCCUACGGGAGAAAGCAGGGGAUCUUCGGACCUUGCGCUAAUAGAUGAGCCUAAGUCGGAUUAGCUAGUUGGUGGGGUAAAGGCCUACCAAGGCGACGAUCUGUAGCGGGUCUGAGAGGAUGAUCCGCCACACUGGGACUGAGACACGGCCCAGACUCCUACGGGAGGCAGCAGUGGGGAAUAUUGGACAAUGGGGGGAACCCUGAUCCAGCCAUGCCGCGUGUGUGAAGAAGGCCUUUUGGUUGUAAAGCACUUUAAGCGAGGAGGAGGCUUACCUGGUUAAUACCUGGGAUAAGUGGACGUUACUCGCAGAAUAAGCACCGGCUAACUCUGUGCCAGCAGCCGCGGUAAUACAGAGGGUGCAAGCGUUAAUCGGAUUUACUGGGCGUAAAGCGCGCGUAGGUGGCUAAUUAAGUCAAAUGUGAAAUCCCCGAGCUUAACUUGGGAAUUGCAUUCGAUACUGGUUAGCUAGAGUAUGGGAGAGGAUGGUAGAAUUCCAGGUGUAGCGGUGAAAUGCGUAGAGAUCUGGAGGAAUACCGAUGGCGAAGGCAGCCAUCUGGCCUAAUACUGACACUGAGGUGCGAAAGCAUGGGGAGCAAACAGGAUUAGAUACCCUGGUAGUCCAUGCCGUAAACGAUGUCUACUAGCCGUUGGGGCCCUUGAGGCUUUAGUGGCGCAGCUAACGCGAUAAGUAGACCGCCUGGGGAGUACGGUCGCAAGACUAAAACUCAAAUGAAUUGACGGGGGCCCGCACAAGCGGUGGAGCAUGUGGUUUAAUUCGAUGCAACGCGAAGAACCUUACCUGGCCUUGACAUACAGAGAACUUUCCAGAGAUGGAUUGGUGCCUUCGGGAACUCUGAUACAGGUGCUGCAUGGCUGUCGUCAGCUCGUGUCGUGAGAUGUUGGGUUAAGUCCCGCAACGAGCGCAACCCUUUUCCUUAUUUGCCAGCACUUCGGGUGGGAACUUUAAGGAUACUGCCAGUGACAAACUGGAG